GCUUUCCUGUGGCUAAGUAAGAAGAGCAUUAUGCUAGUAACGCCAAAGGUUGUGGGUUCAAACCCCAUGGAAAGCA